GUGGAGGGGGAGGCGAGGGAAGGGCUUUGUGUCUGCCUCCCGCCCUCCCUCGGAUCCAGCUCUAGCCAUCCCCCUCCCCCAACCGCUCGGGAGGGAUGGGGCGGGGGAAUCCGAGGGGGCGAGGAAGGCGCCUGCGCGACCGGGGCCCCCAGCGCCCCCGGUACCGCCCACCCUCCGCUGCGGGGACGCGCAGCCUCUGCGCUCACCCGGGGACCAGGGACCCAGGCUGCAGGGAGGAGAGAGCUGGACCAGAAAGUUGAUCUAACCCGGAGCGAACUUGGCUGGCCCGGCUCCCGCCCCGCCUCGGCGCCGCCGCCCGGCUCUUCUCACUCCCCGGGGAGGACCGGACUUUUGUUCUCGAGACUCGGCCCAGUCUCCUUUCUGUCCGCCCAUCACAGAGCAGCACACACGCUUGCACCCCCUUCCCGUGACGAGCCCCGCCGCCCCCCAGCGGACCCAGAUCCGCCGCGCGGGCUGGGAGCCCCAGCUGGGGAGGCCCGCGUGGGCGCGGCCCUUUGUCCCCGGUUUGGCCGCGCCGUGUCCCCGCCGCGAGGUGUUUUGCUCGUCCUAGCUGGGUAGGGGGCCGCCUGGGUUGGUUUCUGUGUGUUCAGGGCCACCCAGCCCCGGCCCCGCGGGAGCGAGAGCGGCGGGGAGGAGGGAUGUGGUUUGGCUCCGCGCUGGGAGACCUUUAUCACCCCUGGGAAGGCGACGCGGACAGGCGGGGAGCUGCUGGCCGGUUGCCGGCCAGGAACCAGCAGUCGUCUUUCUUCCGAGUCGGGCGGGUCCCUGGUAGAACCUUCAGGAAUUCCUGAAGGUUGGAUACGUUGGCAGAAGGGAGAAGUAGACAGAAACAGACCUGGUCCCACACCUCUCCUCCUUCUCUCCCUUCUUCCACGGGAUUGAUUGUGUUUUGUAGACAAAGUGCCCCAGGUAAAUGCUGAACAGAGUAAACCAAGCAGCACUGGUCUGGAAGCAUUGCCCAGAGCUGGCAACUCAGCAAUUUGUUUCUCUCCUCUGUCGAGCAGGGCAAGUAGAGUCUCCUAAUGGAUAUCCUGCCUUCUCCCCUACCCACCUUCUUGAAUAAAAUGGACUUAGGGCAGAUGUGUUAACAUCUUC